rnacentral:rRNA from 1 species
AGCGAACGCUGGCGGCAGGCCUAACACAUGCAAGUCGAACGGAUCCUUCGGGAUUAGUGGCGGACGGGUGAGUAACACGUGGGAACGUGCCCUUUGGUUCGGAACAACUCAGGGAAACUUGAGCUAAUACCGGAUGUGCCCUUCGGGGGAAAGAUUUAUCGCCAUUGGAGCGGCCCGCGUCUGAUUAGCUAGUUGGUGAGGUAACGGCCCACCAAGGCGACGAUCAGUAGCUGGUCUGAGAGGAUGAUCAGCCACACUGGGACUGAGACACGGCCCAGACUCCUACGGGAGGCAGCAGUGGGGAAUCUUGCGCAAUGGGCGAAAUCCUGACGCAGCCAUGCCGCGUGAAUGAUGAAGGUCGUAGGAUUGUAAAAUUCUUUCAGCGGGGACGAUAAUGACGGUACCCGCAGAAGAAGCUCCGGCUAACUUCGUG